GUCACUUUGCCGGAGUGGUUAACGGGAUCGCCUGCUACCAAGCAUUCAGCGGUUGCACUUUGUGCGCGAGUGUUCGAAUCGCUCAGGUGACG